rnacentral:tRNA from 1 species
AUCAGUUUGGCCGAGUGGUUAAGGCGAUAGACUUGAAAUCUAUUGGGCUCUGCCCGCGUCGGUUCAAAUCCGGCAGCUGAUG